rnacentral:rRNA from 1 species
GACGAACGCUGGCGGCGUGCCUAACACAUGCAAGUCGAGCGGAGAUGUACUGAAGAUUUAUCGGAUGUACAUCUUAGCGGCGGACGGGUGAGUAACGCGUGGGCAACCUGCCUUCCACUGGGGGAUAACACAGGGAAACCUGUGCUAAUACCGCAUGACAUCACAUAGGGCAUCCUGUGUGAUCAAAGGAGUGAUCCGGUGGAAGAUGGGCCCGCGUCCGAUUAGCUAGUUGGUGAGGUAACGGCUCACCAAGGCGACGAUCGGUAGCCGGACUGAGAGGUUGGCCGGCCACAUUGGGACUGAGACACGGCCCAGACUCCUACGGGAGGCAGCAGUGGGGAAUAUUGCGCAAUGGGGGAACCCUGACGCAGCGACGCCGCGUGAAGGAAGAAGGCCUCGGUUGUAACUUCUUGAUGAGGGACGAAGGAAGGUGACGGUACCGUCAAAACAAGACCACGGCGUAACUAACGUGCCAGCAGCCGCGGUAAAAGUCACGUCGC